ACUAAAAUUCCUUCUUUUGAAAAUUUUUUAUUUUUGUCUUGAGUUAAGUGUAAAAAAGAAUACAUUAACUCAAGAUGUGGGAUGGAAAUGGUGUGUGAAGAAGUGGUAAAAAGAGAUGAGAAAGGUGGGAUAUUUUCACCAAAGCUUUUAGGAAAAGUAGAAAGCUUAAUAAUUGGAGAAAAGUGGAAGGAUGAAAAAACUCCCCUGUCAUGGCUUGAAUCUUGUAGAAAGAUGGGGGUGGAUGGUGCCUGUAGUAACACUUCCUUUGCGACUAGGACGUUUUCCUUCUCCUUUUCUUUCAUAAUUUCUUCUUUUUCUUUUGUUUCUUUCUCCUAUUUUUCUUUCCUCUCAUUUUCUUCUUUUUCUCUCUCCUCUCUUUCUUUCCUUUCUUUUGUUUCUUUAUCCUCUUUUCUAUCUUGAAGGACCUCUUUAUGAGAAAUGAGACAAUUAAGCUUGACCUUCUCCUUUUCUUCACCUCUCUUGGACUUGAUGAUGUGGUAGUCCUUAUGUAUUUCCUUUGGAGUUAGAGGUUUUAAGACCACCUUGCCCCCU
rnacentral:lncRNA from 1 species